rnacentral:rRNA from 1 species
GAUGAACGCUGGCGGCGUGCCUAAUACAUGCAAGUCGAGCGAACAGAUGAGGAGCUUGCUCCUCUGACGUUAGCGGCGGACGGGUGAGUAACACGUGGAUAACCUACCUAUAAGACUGGGAUAACUUCGGGAAACCGGAGCUAAUACCGGAUAAUAUAUUGAACCGCAUGGUUCAAUAGUGAAAGACGGUUUUGCUGUCACUUAUAGAUGGAUCCGCGCCGCAUUAGCUAGUUGGUAAGGUAACGGCUUACCAAGGCGACGAUGCGUAGCCGACCUGAGAGGGUGAUCGGCCACACUGGAACUGAGACACGGUCCAGACUCCUACGGGAGGCAGAAGUAGGGAAUCUUCCGCAAUGGGCGAAAGCCUGACGGAGCAACGCCGCGUGAGUGAUGAAGGUAUUCGGAUCGUAAAACUCUGUUAUUAGGGAAGAACAAAUGUGUAAGUAACUAUGCACGUCUUGACGGUACCUAAUCAGAAAGCCACGGCUAACUACGUG